UUUAGGUUUAGGUUUAGGUUAGGGAGUUGAGAUUAGGAUUUGGUGUAGGUUUAGGUUUAGGAAUUUGAGAAUUGGUUAAGGUUUAGGUUUAGGAAAUCGGGUUCGGGUUCGGAAUCGUGUUUAGGCUUGGGUUUUCAAGUUUAGUUUUAGGUUUAGGUUAGGGAGUUGAGAAUGGGAUUUGGUGUAGGUUUAGGUUUAGGGAUUUGAGAAUAGGUUAAGGUUUAGGUUUAGGAAAUCGGGUUCGGGUUCAGGUUCGGGAUCAGGUUUAGGUUUAGGCUUAGGUUUUCAAGUUUAGGUUUAGGUUUAGGUUAGGGAGUUGAGAUUGGGAUUUGGUGUAGGUGUAGGUUUAGGUUUAGGGAUUUGAGAAUACAUUUAGGUUUAGGUUUAGGUUUAGGUUGUAGCUUAUAGGUUUAGGUUAUAGGUUUAGGUUUUGGUUUUAGGUUUAGGUUAUAAGUUAUAGGUUAUAGGUUAUAGGUUAUAGGUUAAGGUUUAGGUUAUAGGUUUUGGUUUAGGUUAAGGUUUAGGUUUUGGGUGUAGUUUUUGGUUAUAGGUUUAGGUUAGGUUUAGGUUUAGGUUAUAGGUUAUAGCUUUGGGAAUUGAGAAUAGGUUAAGGUUUAGGUUUUGGAAAUCGGGUUCGGGUUCGGUAUCGGGUUUAGGCUUGGGUUUUCAAGUUUAGGUUUAGGUUUAGGUUAGGG